AUACGUAGGGUGCAAGCGUUGUCCGGAAUUAUUGGGCGUAAAGAGCUCGUAGGCGGCUUGUCGCGUCUGCUGUGAAACCCCGGAGCUCAACUCCGGGCCUGCAGUGGGUACGGGCAAGCUAGAGUGCGGUAGGGGAGAUUGGAAUUCCUGGUGUAGCGGUGGAAUGCGCAGAUAUCAGGAGGAACACCGAUGGCGAAGGCAGAUCUCUGGGCCGUAACUGACGCUGAGGAGCGAAAGCAUGGGGAGCGAACAGGAUUAGAUACCCUGGUAGUCCAUGCCGUAAACGUUGGGAACUAGAUGUAGGGCCUGUUCCACGGGUUCUGUGUCGUAGCUAACGCAUUAAGUUCCCCGCCUGGGGAGUACGGCCACAAGGCUAAA
rnacentral:rRNA from 1 species